AUUGAACGCUGGCGGCAGGCUUAACACAUGCAAGUCGAGCGGGGGUAGCAAUACCUUAGCGGCGGACGGGUGGGGAAUGUAUCGGAACGUGCCGAGUAGUGGGGGAUAACACAGGGAAACUUGUGCUAAUACCGCAUACGCCCUGAGGGGGAACGCGGGGGACCGCAAGGCCUCACGCUAUUCGAGCGGCCGAUACCCGAUUAGCUAGUUGGUGAGGUAAGAGCUCACCAAGGCGACGAUCGGUAGCUGGUCUUAGAGGACGAUCAGCCACACUGGAACUGAGACACGGUCCAGACUCCUACGGGAGGCAGCAGUGGGGAAUAUUGGACAAUGGGGGCAACCCUGAUCCAGCCAUGCCGCGUGAGUGAAGAAGGCCUUCGGGUUGUAAAGCUCUUUGAGCGGGGAGGAAGGUCAUACGGUUAAUAACCGUGUGAAUUGACGUUACCUGCAGAACAAGCACCGGCUAACUCUGUGCCAGCAGCCGCCGUAAAAC
rnacentral:rRNA from 1 species